rnacentral:lncRNA from 1 species
GGGGAUCACCUCCCAGCCUAAGGUUGCUUUCUGAGGUCCGGGCUGGAACCUAUGUUCCUUUAAAUCUGCCCAGAUCACCGGGAAAUGCUGCCUUUGCUGGGUUUGCACGCUGAGCACCUGACACACCUGCUGCUGAGGCAGCGUGAGUCACCCGCACAGACACUGCUCACUGGACUCCAGUUCAGAGCUUGGCUGUCACGCACCCCGGAUGUCAUCCCCCACCUACCCCUCUGAAGGCAUGUCAGGACAGAUCAGGCUCUAACCCAAUGUCUACUCAACGGCUCACCCCCAGGGGAAGCACAGGGAAGGAUGGAGGGGGUACACAAGGAUGCGUCUCCCGUUCAUGGUCAAGGGUCUUCUCCCCUCUGUGUCCUGGAACAUCUCAUCUGCCCUGCUGGCCAUAAAUAGGGCGGAGGGGAUCCUGAACUGAAUUCUGGCCCCCACUUUGAGCAUCUCACUGUGGAUAUAUGAGGUGUCUGGCUCGCCUCUCUUCCCAAGCAGGUGCUCGUGGCACUGACACCCUGCACACCGUUCAAGAGAGAUCCGUGACAGCUUCCAGAAGUCUUAUUUGCAGGACGGACUUCUGGGUGAGAAACGGAUUGGCCCUGCCAGCAGGGCCGGAGAACCUUAAGACCUUCGAUAAAGCGACGCAGUCCAAUCAGAUCCUUUCCCCGGAAUCGCGGGGAAACUCACCUCCAGGGAAAGCAACUGACUGCAGGGUGAAAGCCAUGGGGUCCUCGGCUGGGAGCGGCUCGUUCACUGCAAGGUGCUGAGAAUCAGAGCUUGAGUCUCAGAAGUGUCCCUGCUCAGAAGCUCUCAACGUCCCCCCAGAAGACUGUCCCAAGGAUUAGACUCGAAGGGAACAGAGUCCUCAUGCGAGCCCACCUGGUCCCAAGCCAGACAGGUCCUCCACCUAAGCUCUGCUCAUUAUACAUCUAACAUGGGCACGCUGUCCCUCUGAUUCCUAUCUCGCUUUAAAAUCAGGGACCUCUGGUCCAUAUGUUUCUUUAUUUUGCUGGCUUUCCUGGUAGGAUGUAACCACUAGACUCCUUGGCUUUGCUCACCUCUAUAUCUCCAUCCCCUAGAAGGGUACCCAGCACGUCGUAGGUAUUGAUGGAGCAGACUGAUAAUCAUUGUGAGGCUCUGUUUCGUGCUCGGCAUGUGAUGAAUGUGCCACCUGAUCUUCUCCAUACCUUCUGAGGAUGAUGUGAUUUAACCCAUUUUGCAGAUGAGGAAACUGGCAUUCAGAGACCCGGUGACCCUCCCACAGCCACACGGAUAAUGGGCAGCAGAGCCAGCCCCUGAAGAGCAGGGAGGGGUUGAAUUCCACUUCAAACCACACCGGAAGUUUGACACUGUCAGCAGCAGUCAGUUUUUUUGUUUGUUUGUGAUUGUUUUUUGCUUGUUAGGGCCACACCCGCAGCAUAUGGAAGUUCCCAGGCUAGGGGUCUAAUCGGAGCUACAGCUGCCAACCUACACCACAGCCACAGCAACAUCAGAUCCGAGCCGCAUCUGUGACCUUCACCACAAUUCACGGCAAGGCCAGAUACUUACCCUACGGAGUGAGGCCAGGGAGCGAACCCACAACCUCAUGGUUCCUAGUCGGGUUCGUUUCCGAGCAGCAGUCAUUUUAACUGGAAAGAGCAACUCUUUAUUUUAUUUGACACACUCACCUUCAACCUAUCUGUGUUCAAAAGCUAGAUCCGAGUCCAGAAGAAAAAGAGGAUCCAGGAGUACCCGCUGUGGUGCAACAGGUUAAAGGAUCUGGCACUGGGUUGCAGCUGUGGCUUGGAAUCAACCCCUGCCCCAGGAACUUCCACAUGCCAUGAGAAUGGUGAAAAAAAAAUUAAAAUAAAUAAAUAAAUAAAUAAUCA